AGCGAACGCUGGCGGCAGGCCUAACACAUGCAAGUCGAACGAAGUCUUCGGACUUAGUGGCGGACGGGUGAGUAACACGUGGGAACGUGCCUUUAGGUUCGGAAUAACUCAGGGAAACUUGUGCUAAUACCGAAUGUGCCCUUCGGGGGAAAGAUUUAUCGCCUUUAGAGCGGCCCGCGUCUGAUUAGCUAGUUGGUGAGGUAAAGGCUCACCAAGGCGACGAUCAGUAGCUGGUCUGAGAGGACGAUCAGCCACAUUGGGACUGAGACACGGCCCAAACUCCUACGGGAGGCAGCAGUGGGGAAUCUUGCGCAAUGGGUGAAAGCCUGACGCAGCCAUGCCGCGUGAAUGAUGAAGGUCUUAGGAUUGUAAAAUUCUUUCACCGGGGACGAUAAUGACGGUACCCGGAGAAGAAGCCCCGGCUAACUUCGUGCCAGCCGCCGCAGUAACAC
rnacentral:rRNA from 1 species